GUGCAUGCUGGGCUAUAAUUUAUGAAACGGAGCCCAGGAAACAACCAAUCACUUAGCUCCUCCUAACAAGUCCAACUGGCUAUGAAAAGCUGGAAGUGCUGCACAGAACAAUGAAGAGGAGCUAUCCCACAUAUUAAUCUGCUUAUCUGGGAUUGCUUUCUGUUUAGAGAGAGGGAAGCCUGUAACAAGGAGAGAGAAAAAAAAAAAAAAAAAA
rfam:Patagioenas fasciata monilis isolate BTP2013 Sc31e1R_70, whole genome shotgun sequence.